AACGAUGAACCUUAGCUUGCUAAGGGGAUUAGUGGCGCACGGGUGAGUAAUAUAUAGUUAACGUGCCUCUUAGUCUGGGAUAGCCAUUGGAAACGAUGAUUAAUACUGGAUACUCCUUCUAACUAUAAUGUUAGUUGGGAAAGUUUUUCGCUAAGAGAUCGGACUAUAUCCCAUCAGCUUGUUGGUAGUGUAAGAGACUACCAAGGCAAUGACGGGUAGCGGGUUUGAGAGGAUGAUCCGCCACACUGGUACUGAGACACGGACCAGACUCC
rnacentral:rRNA from 2 species